UCUCCGUAGGUGAACCAGCGGAGGGAUCAUUACAGAGUUCCACAACUCCCAACCCCUGCGAACCGUACCCCCGUUUGUUCUCGUUGCCUCCUGGCGGCGGGCCCCCGGCGCCACCGCCGGGGCCCCCGCCAGCGGCGGCGAGCACCCUGACCCUUUUUUUCUCACCCAGCCCGUCUGAGCAACCAAACAAAAGAAUCAAAACUUUCAACAACGGAUCUCUUGGUUCUG
rnacentral:misc_RNA from 1 species